ACAUUUAUAGUUUUAUUCACCACUCCUGUUAGUUUUGGAUGCGCUCGGCUCCAACCAAUCAGACCAAUUUACGCUAACGGCGCACUAAUCCCGUAACUGCACACUACCCAUAAGCCUCAAACACCGUUGCUAUGGAAAUGAAAAUAAUCAACAGCUUGGUGCUACCCGUUAUUCCUUUAUUUACUCUAAAAUAAUAACCAGCGAUAAUACGAAAAUAAACUGGCCCAGUGUUUAAUUAUGUAAUUACAAAUUGCAAAUUUUAUUUUUUUAUUUUAUUUUAUUUCAUUUUUUGCAAUAUUUAUCUACAGCGUGCCUUCAGCGACACGUAAACAGAUCUUAAGCAAGGCGAUUGGAUGGUUUUUACUGCAAUGCAUCUUGGGAGUCGUAGUAAAUGGAUCUUUCAACUCACCGUCCAGCGAAUUUUUCGACUCGACACGAGGCAGAUCUUAGCUAGAGCAGUCUGUGUACCAAGAGAACUACUUCUGCAAAGAAAUUAUAAAGCCAAAAACCAAACCAUGCCCUUCCUGUCAGGCUCCAAGCACCUGCAACAGGAAGACAUGCAGUGGAUGCCUGGGCAGCCUGAACGUAAAGGAGGGAUUGAAAAAAAAAAAAACAAGAACAGCAACUGGGCUGCCUCUGUUAAAAAAAAACAGAAAUGCGAGCAGGGUGGUCAAUUCAGCCCAGUUAUCAGUAAGGUUUCAAAACUACAUGCCCUGCCAAUUCUGUUUCUUGGACAGUUUGACCGAAAGGGCCGUAUAGUAGGGGACGUGAUCACAUAG
rnacentral:lncRNA from 1 species